AAAUUGAGGGUGUGCAAAAAUCAACAUGGACCUAAAGUCCAAUUCAAACAUACUUAAAUCCUAAUUAAAAGGAAAUUAAAAAAAUAAGAAAAUAAAUUAAUAAAAUAAACAAGUGAAUGAUAGAAAAAUAAAUAAAUAAAUAAAUAAAAAUAAAAACGUGUUGCUUUAAAAUAGGGAACAUCGUCCCAUUUUCUUUAUAAAAGACUUUCAUAUACUUUUUUUUUAAAGUAACUAAUUGUAAGGUGAUAUGUGGCCAUGGAAUUUUAAAAAAAAAACAUCAACCCUCCCUUAUCAUCCCUCUUGUGUGGACCUCAUCAAUCUCUCUCACUGUUAAGUAACACUCUCUCUCUUGUAUGCUUCAAGUAUUUUCAAAAACAAAUUCACAUAGAUAAACAAAAUCAAAUGAAAAAAUCCAUGAUUCACAAGUAAAAAUAGAAAGCAUCAAGGAAUAUAAUAUGAAAAAUAGAGGAAAGAAUGAAGACAAGUAAAUCGACAAGAGACUCCGGUGAUGAUGGUCCAUUUGCAGCGAGUAGCGACUCCGGCUAAGGGAGUAUGUCGAAGUGUUGUUGCGUUUGAAGUUGUUGUGACUUGUUGUUUAUGUGUUUCUACAUGAAACCUUGUGAAGAAGUAACAUGAAGUUGAAAAUAAUGGAAAGAUGAAGUUUUCGGUUAUGAUUGUUAUGUGUAUAUGAGAGAAAAUGGAGGUUUUAUGUGGUUAGUGAAAGAAGUGAUAUGAAAAAGAAGGAAGAAAACUCCUUCAUUUUAUUCACUUCACAUGAAGAGGGUAAGGGAGACACGGGGUUGUUUUAAGUGUUUAGUUAGAAAAAGUGAAAGAAAAAGAGGUAUUACAUAGGAUUGUUCACUAUUAUGCAUCCGCCUUCCCUCAUGCAAUAUUUAGUUAAUACUCACUCCGUCUCUUAAAAAAUAUUUGAUUUGGACUAUGCGUGGUUCUUAAAAAAAAUUGAUUUUAAAGAUAAAAUUAUAUGUUUGUACUAAAAUACCCUUAUCAACUUUUUUAAUAUUCUCA
rnacentral:lncRNA from 1 species